UUUUUUUUUUCCCUCUGUGGCUUUCUGUAGGUGCACAGAAAAAGCUAAUCUCUCCCUCUCUUGUUGUUUAAUGCAGCUCAUAUAAUUGGAAAACCUCCUCUGAAGAGUCUGGGGCAGACAGCUGUGCCAGCUGUGCCAUUAGUAGUGUCACCUAAUGGGAGCAGAGCGGAGUGGAAAGCAAAACAAGCAGCAGUAGGAUGUUUCUGUGCAUCUUUCCAAUGUUCCCUACAGCCAAGCUUGCUAGAGUGAAUUCAGCUGUGAAUUUGAAGAGCAGAAAAAAAGAUUUUCUUACCACCGGUGCUGUUAUACUGUUAGGCUCCACAAACGGUGUAUUUGACCCUAAAGUUACUGCUCUGGCCGUAUAACGUUCUUUUUACUUUUUGAAGCAUGCAGUCUUUGGGUUUGGGCAUUGUUGUAGAUAAUUUGCAGAUUAGUUUAUUAAUGAAAGUUCACCUGGUAGCGAGCAUGCUCUGCUGCCUGUUCCUCAGAGGGUGAGCAGUAAAGCUGAGUUGUAUGAUUACCUGAUUUAUAUUUCCAGGGCCAGUUCUUUGGUCUUUGCCUUCCCAGCUUGGCUACUGGAGAACUCUGUGUUUGGGGGUACCCUGAAGCCUUUAAGGGCAGGAGAUGCUGCUGACCUUGGCAUGUGGAUCUGCAGCUUGGUGCUUCCAUCGUUCAUUACUAUGAUGCUAAUCACCUGGCCAUGCAUGCAUAUUCAGGGAGUGUUUAUUUAAGGGUGCAUGUGGGGAAAUCCAAAUUCCCCAAACUGCGCGGAGUUACGUGGUCGUCAUAUUUGAAAUGUGUGACCCAUGGUUACAAAGGAUGUUUUUUGUAAAUGCUGUUGAUCUGGUGGCAUAUGUCAGGGACUGGAAAAUGCAGGCUAUUUAUAAUUAUCCACAGGUGGAGAGAGAGGCGGCGCUGCACAGCACUAGCAAUAAUUAUCAGCAGUGUAGAAAGUUCAUCUCUUAAGCCAUUGGUUCUAACACACUAAAAAGUAUUUGAUCUGGAAUCUGGCACAGCCUUCAAAUGGAGCCGUUCAAAGGAGUCCUGACCUAAUUUUGCUAAGGAAGUGUGCAAGCCUUCCUCGUUCUGCUAAUUUCUUGCAGAAGGUUUCAAUGAGAGUCUUCCUACCCUACAUGUGCAUAUAUUUUACUGCAGAGCGUUUUGAAUAAAAGCAGCCAUUACCAGCCAGGUGGUAAAUAUAGCAUGCAGCUUAGCAGAAAUGACCUUCAAUUAAGCAGAGGCGGUCCCUUCUCCUGCGCCGUGCAGUUGUCAAUUACUUUUUUUUUUUAAAAGACUAUUUUUGCUGUGUCUUUUUGUGAAUAAUUGCAAAGCCUGAAGCACAGCGCUGGCUCUGUGUAUAAGAGCAGAUUUGGUGCUUGUGCUGAACUCCUCUUCCAGUGCACACCUCAAAAAUUUGGAGUCUCUAACAAACAGAAGUUUGCUUUCUUUUCCAGGGAAAUACCUCAUUAAUUAUGAAACAUUGUCCACUGAGCUAUGUAAAUUUUUCUGUUGAAGGAUAUAGCACGGGUUCUUUGACUUUCCUUGGGAUAAAUCAAAGCAGAAGUGACGACGUUAUGUCUUAAUGGGCUUUCAUCUUCAGAAGAAAAUGGAGGGGGGGGAAAUCCUAUUUUUCAACAGUGGCACAAGAGCACAUACUGCAAUAGAGCUCAGGUUUUCCUCAUUACUGGCAGUGUAGGUGUAGGCUGUUUUUAUCGUAAGAUAAAAACAAACAAAGCAACCUGAACCGAGGGCUUUUAAAUUCUGUCUCACCUGUCACUCACACGUUUUCUCAUGCCAUUAUCACUGCAGUGUUGUUGUAAGACUACUGGUUUCCUACCAGAAACGCAGCCUUUUUGUUCAGUAUGGUUUUUUGACUCAUGCAAGCCAGGUAACUGCUAGUAUUGGCACUGCUCUCUGGUCUCGUGUUGCAAGCACGGGAUCCAACAGCAGAAAACGAGCGCAGAGGGAUCUGUCCUGAGCUAACAAACAAACAAAAAUAACCCUAGCCAUUUCCCCGCUGAGAAUUUAGGAGACGGAAUACUGCUGUAUUGUUGCUGCUGAUCUCCUGUGGGUAUGGAGGGCAUCGAGGAAGUCAGGCUGUGAGACACCAGGAGAGAGGAGAGCCACAGUAUGACUUCAUGUGCUGAAAAUCUUUCAUCUGGUGACUGCUCACAACCAAGUGGUAUCACUCCAGGAAAGUUACUCACGUGUUGGAAGUGGCGGCAGCAAUGGACGGGAGAGAGGCAGCUUUCCCUGGAAGGAUGGAAAAAAUGAAGAAAAACUGCUGUAGCCAUACAUUUUGAUUCCUUUUACUUCUGUUUUCAUUCUUUUUUGUUGUUGUUGUUGUCUUUUGGUACAUGGAGGGUGUUGAUGCAAUCAGUUCCACGCUGUGCUCUGCCCAGGAGCCAUGCAAAGCACUGACAGGGAGCAAGUGGUUAUCCAGCACCCUAGGGUACCCUGGGCAUUUGUGGGAGCUGGAGGUGAAGGAAUCGCCUCCUCUUACCCAAACCUGAGCUGCUCACCUCCUCUGGAAUGAUGCUUGGUCUGGAGAGCAUGGCAUUGUUGCAAGUAACCUCAUGAAAGAUGAGUGCGAAGGCAAUGGUGGAUUUAUCAGCGGUGCUCCGGCAAGUGGAGGUGUGCCUGCUGCUGCGGCUGCUUUUGAGAAAGCAGAGGGCCACCUUCACCAGGAGAACUGGGGCAGGGUGGUAGGUCGUAGCAGACUGUUUGUGGAGGAAAUAAACCAGAAAUACCACUUGGAGUAUCUGAACUGAUGUGGAAAUACAUAGAUAAGGCUGCUCUGUCAAUACUUCAGCACGACGUAAGAGAUCUCUAGCUCUUACAGGAGCAACAACCAAUAAGUUGCAGCCUUGUUAAGCUCACGUAUGCUUCUAGUAAAGUACCUCUAUUUUAUCAGUGUGUCUCUGGAAAUCUGUGUGGUUCAUGCCUCUCAGUAUAUGAAUUAGCCAAUUUAAGGCAAUGCAUCACAGUGCAUGUGGUUAUAAUGCUCCCACUUAUAUGAUGAAAAUUAGGGAAUAUUUUAUAAUGAUACGAGCUAUUAAAACUUAUUUAGCUUUCACCUAAUAAAUAUUUAUUAGCUGCUAAAUAUCAGUCAUUAAUGCCUGAUAAACGAGGUUCUCCAGGAGGCAGCUUCGGCUAGGAAGGCAUCUCUCCCCUUCCUUCCCUGCACAGCUCUGCAUUAAGCAAGGUCCUUCCCACCUGCUGCUUUGUGCCUGAGGUUGGAAUUUCCCCUUUUCAGUGCUCGUCACUGAGCCUGGAUGGAGAUACGGGGAUCUUGCACUCUCCCAGCACUCAGAAAGGGUGUAUUUCUUUAGGACAAAUCCUCUUAGAGAUGUGAAUUCAUUUACUUCUCAGGGAGGAUUGAAAUGGAGCAUCUAUUCAAGCUGCGCUGUGAUUUUCUUCACUGGAAUUCAGAUGGAUAUUAUGCAUGUCACAGGGCUCAGUUCCCGAACACAUUUUUUACUCGUUAAAGUCUGCUUUUAAAUGUCAAUAUACUCACCUCUUAAGCUUAAGCAUCCAGAAUUGACAGGUGUUUUUUUCAGAACUAGACUUUGUGGAGGGGAAAGGAGGAAGGCAGUAUUAAAAUAAAGCUCCGUGGGACUGCUGGUUCAGCGUUAGCAUCAGUGGAUGACAAGAUUGGAAGUACUACAGGUGCCAUUUUCCAGGACAGCAAACACAUGUAGAGUUCUUGGUUACUUUUGGGGUGGGCAGAAUUUUCUACAGAGCAAGGAAACAGUAAUUCAGCCAUGUGCAUUAUGGCUGUUUGAUGGGAAUGGCCAAACUCCAUUUAUAUACGGAAGCAUCUUAUGUUAACACAGGGAAAAAGGCAGGAAAAUGGGGAGCUGAAAAAAAAAAGAUGGGUGUUCAGUGGUGUUUUGCUGAUGCAUUAGGUGGUGGCUUGCUGCAGAAUUGCCUUUCAGGAGUUAGGGACUUCACAUUUUCAAAUGUAAAGUUUCUAGUGCCUGGCAGUUUCAGGAUUUCCAUGCAUCAGCAUGAUCCGUACAGAUAAGGGAGCCAGAUUUAGUUAUGUGCUCUUGCCAUUUAAAAGGCCAACCGUUCCGUGCAGUUUUGCAGAAGGAACUGUAUUAAUUUCCUUUUUCAGUCCUUGUGUUCUGUGCGAGGCUUUAUUUUUCUUAAGAAACCGCAGCAUCUGAAACUUUGAGGAUUAAAAGUAACUUUGAAGAGUGUAAUUACAACUCGGUUCUCCGCUGCAUUGCACUUGUUUUGUAAACUGUAACCGUGCAGCUGAACUUGCCCUUUGAAUGAAGCCUUACGUACCACGAGGGUUAAUACUUAAACCAAACCACCUGCUUAAAAUUGGCUACCCAUUACCCCAGUUCCAUUAAAUUAGGAACUCGGGUAACAAAGUGAAAAGGUUCUUGCUUUAUAGCCUGAGCCACUUUCCCACCCUCAGGCACCGGGCUUAUUUUAAGUCUCUUGCUCGGAAGAAAAUAGAAUUCAUUUCUUCAGCUGCACAUGACUGUCUCAGCGUGGCGAAAAUAGAAACCGGUGCUACCCCAGAUGCAUAAUUCAUCCCGUAGCUAGCAGGCAUUCAUGCAAUACAGUAAAUUGCAAGGGCUGCUUCCUUCGAGCACGCCUCGCAUGCGGGUGAACGACGGAGCGGGGCUGCGGUGCCCGUGCUCGGUGCCCUUCGUGUGCUCAGGGCAGAUCGGCCACUUCUUUCCUUCACUGGUGGGAUGGGUGCUGGGAGAAUAAGGACUGGGGCCCUUUGAGCCUGGUUUUGUGGGAGCAAACACUCACCUGGCAUCCACUGAAGUUACGGGGAAGCUUAAUGUGUGAAUGAACAGGCUGCAGCUUUGCUGGCAGCCCGUUGAUGAAAAGAUGCAGCUUAAGGCUUUACAGAAAACGUCUGGAUUUGUAUAUGAAAAAGUAGUUUUGUAAGGUAUAUCGCUGCUGUGUGAUGUAUUUUUCUUCUUUCUGUCUUUCCCCCAGACGGUGGUGUUUGCUUCUUCCCCUCCACCACAUCAGUAUCACUAGUUACUGCCACCAGAAUUGGAGAGCUGGCAUUCAGGACACUCGCUGCUGAGUAUUCAAGAAGUGCAGCACAAUGUAGAUCAUGUAAAUAGCAAAAAUCUUUGCUUCUGAACAAAAGAGAAUUUCCUAAUUUCCAUUAAAAAAUAUAGAAGCUUUU